UUAAAAUCUUAUCGCCCAAGUACAGCGGUAGAUCCGUGUUAACAUUUAAAGUCGUUGAAGUACAGCAAAAGAGAAGCUGCAAUAAAGGAAGAGAAGACACUGUCGAAGAGCACACAUGAGGAAGAUGAGCCGUGCCCUAAAAGAGGGAUGUCAAAGCAAGAACCCAAUACUUCAGAGGUAGCCUUGACAGAAGGUGGGGCUCCAGAGCAGUUUGAGUUUCAGUAUGGACUUGAGGGACCAACAUUUAAGAAUGAGAAUGGGGAGUCCUCCAAGAGCCAUCUGUCCAUCAUCAAAGUAGAACAGCUGGACUCCCUCCUCCCAGACCAAACAGACUCCAGCUGUGGUUCAGGGUCACCUGGGGAUUCGGGGCCUCCUGACUCGUCUGGUUCUGGGUCCAAUACUAGUCCGGCUUCACAGUUUUUCAGGAAGUGCCACCAGGCAGGCUGCACACAAUUCAUCUUCUCGGAGUUCACCUCCCGCCUCAGCACCAUCACUGAGAGGAUCGCAUCCCAGCAGGCCAGCGAGGAAGAUUUCAACCUCACCCUGAAAGUGCUGGAGGCCUCUGGGAUGCUGCCAGAGAUCUUUACCAAAAGAGACCAAGAAAUGGAGAAGAGACUGAGGGAGCUACAGAGAGAGACUGUUGCGGUGAGGACAGCCAGGUCUGCCAUGAGAGAUGCUUGCGUCAUGAGCUUCACCUCAUGACGGAGCACCGCUGAAGAUCAAAUCGGUUUUAUAAGGCGUUAUAACCAGCAGAGCCUGGUUAUAUUCUGACCACUUGACAGAACUAGGAAGGUAUAGGAGUUUUCCCUGGACCAAUCCCCUCGUCAGGAAAAACUUAGAUCCUCCUUUUAACCGAAAUGUAAAUAUUUCAAACCUUUUGUAUUUUACAUAUUUUUCUACCCGUGUUCAAACUUUGACUCUGUGAAAUCUGAACUCUGACAUUUGAAUGCAGUUUUUCACCCUGGCCACUAACUUGAGUGGCAUGUUAUACAUUAAAUGAGUAAUUGGUAAUAUAAUCUUUUGACAGACAUUGGUUCUGAGGUUAUUGGUGGUGAUUUGAUGUUAGUAGGUGAUCCUUAGUCUCCCGCUCUGUACUGUAUAUUAUAUGCUCACUAACCCUUAACAGACUUAAUAUAUCCUAAUAUACUGAAUGUGCAAAUUAGUAGAUCCAUUUUUUUUAUUGACGGUUACUAUCUCCACUAGUACUAUAAGAUUAAUUAUUUAGAAUACACUGUAAUAUAGUACACUUGAGAGGAAAGUUGAGACCUGUGACGUUCUGAGAAUGAAUUAAACUUGUUAUGUAAAUUACUUGUGAUUAUUUCAGAUCGAAAAAUGUGCUGAACUUUAUUUUAUUUUUUAUAUAGUAAAUGGUACAA
rnacentral:lncRNA from 1 species